CUAGGGUGUUUAAUUUCUAGCAUCAUGGAAAAGUUUAUAACUUCGAAUGACAGAGAGAAAAAAAUGGAAGCUUUUUUUAAACAGGAGUUUCAGGGUAAUAGUGAUUUAAAAUUUUCCUUCAGUCUUCAGAAUUGGCGAUGAUCUGAAUAAAAGUUCCCAAGAAGCUAUCCAGCCUUUUGCGGAGAAUCAUUUUGCAUCAAGGAGAGUGAUUUAUUGUCCCUCUGGGCACAUCAAAAUUAUCUUCAAGAAACAAGAUCAUGGAGACCACAGGUGACAAGGUGAUCCGUUAGGAGCAGAAGUUCUGCCAUCUGGUCCCUCAUAUACAGUCUUUCUGGGGCAGAUCCAGCCUUUCCAAGAUGUCUCGCUUGGGGAAGCAGACUGCCUGUAGGAAGGAUUCUGCCACACUCAGCCUUGAGAAAGAGAGGGAGUCCGUCUUGGUCUGGAAGCUCCACUGAAAUAUGUCCACCGCAAGUGGCCCUGCUGGUGUUUGAAUCUACCAAUGGCAUAGCUUUCAGCAUCACAGAAACACACAGCCACCAUGGUAUGACAGACAGGUGGUGUGGUUUCCUGACCUGGAGACUAAGUCCGGCCAUGGCAGUGAGAGUGCUGAAUCUUAACCACUACACCACCAGGGCUUUAUCGUGAAGCAGGAAAUCCAAAAACAUGAGAUCAAGUGGUGAUAGCAGAUAUUCUGUCUCAUAGACAAUUUCAGAUGACAAGCUUUCAAUAUGUAACUCUUAUAUGAUACUGUUGACACGGUAGAUGUUUUGUCAGGGUAAGGUUCCUCCUUUCUAUUGCUAUAUAACAAGAAUUGUCAUCAUACACAGUUGUCGAAUGUGAUAUAUCUUAUGCAUAUAUUGAAGUGGUCAUAUCUUUUUGUUCCUUUAGCCCACUAGUGUGGGUCAUCAUACAGAUCAAGUUUCAAAUGUUAAACUUACCUUCUAUGGUUGAGAUAAUUCUUUGGUCAAAUCUUUGAUUUGUUUUACAUAUUGUGGGUGCAAAUCUGCAAUUAUUUUUUGUAGGCUGCUUUUUUUAGUUCAUGAAAUAUUCUUAGCAUUGCCCUUUUCAUACCAUCUUUGUUAUGUUUAGUAAACAAGUUUAUGCUCACCUCCUCAUGAUUAAUGGACUGCUCUCUCUUUUUCUACCCUUAGC
rnacentral:lncRNA from 1 species